ACCUGAAAUGUGGUUUAUGGUCUGAUAAACUCGUAUAGUUGUGUGUUGUCAUCAGCUUCUUUCUCUUGCAAUUUUCACGAGAUCGGAGUUAAAUAACAGCACUAUAUUG